AGUCUCUGGGGAAAUCUACUGGCUUAACCAAUAGGCGUCUCAGGGAUACUGGCAGACUAGGGACCGGGAGAGGUGAGAGGUACUCCAGGGGUAGGAGUGAAAUCCUGUAAUCCUUGGGGGACCACCUGUGGCGAAGGCGUCUCACCAGAACGGCUCCGACAGUGAGGGACGAAAGCUGGGGGAGCAAACCGGAUUAGAUACCCGGGUAGUCCCAGCUGUAAACGAUGCGCGUUAGGUGUAUCGGUGACCACGAGUCACCGAGGUGCCGAAGAGAAAUCGUGAAACGUGCCGCCUGGGAAGUACGGUCGCAAGGCUGAAACUUAAAGGAAUUGGCGGGGGAGCACCACAACAGGUGGAGCCUGCGGUUUAAUCGGACUCAACGCCGGAAAUCUCACCGGAUAAGACAGCUGGAUGAUAGUCGGGCUGAAGACUCUACUUGACUAGCUGAGAGGAGGUGCAUGGCCGUCGUCAGUUCGUACUGUGAAGCAUA
rnacentral:rRNA from 1 species